CCCUUAGAUGUUCUGGGCCGCACGCGCGCUACACUGACGAAGUCAGCGAGCAUCUCCUACGCCGAAAGGUGCGGGGAAUCUUGUGAAACUUUGUCGUGCUGGGGAUUGAUUUUUUAAAUUCUUGAUCAUCAACGAGGAAUUCCUAGUAAGCGCAAGUCAGCAGCUUGCGUUGAUUACGUCCCUGCCCUUUGUACACACCGCCCGUCGCUACUACCGAUUGAAUGGUUUAGUGAGAUUUUUGGACUGGAACUCUCUUGUUCAGCAAUGAACGAGAGGGACUCUGGGAAGCUAUUCUAACUGUAUCAUUUAGAGGAAGUAAAAGUCGUAACA
rnacentral:rRNA from 1 species